GGUUUGAUCCUGGCUCAGAUUGAACGCUGGCGGGAUGUGCUUUACAUGCAAGUCGAACGGCAGCACGGACUUCGGUCUGGUGGCGAGUGGCGAACGGGUGAGUAAUGUAUCGGAACGUGCCUAGUAGCGGGGGAUAACUACGCGAAAGCGUAGCUAAUACCGCAUACGCCCUUCGGGGGAAAGCGGGGGACCUUCGGGCCUCGCACUAUUAGAGCGGCCGAUAUCGGAUUGGCUGGUUGGUGGGGUAACGGCUCACCAAGGCGACGAUCCGUAGCUGGUUUGAGAGGACGACCAGCCACACUGGGACUGAGACACGGCCCAGACUCCUACAGGGAGGCAGCAGUGGGGAAUUUUGGACAAUAGGGAAACCCUGAUCCAGCCAUCCCGCGUGUGCGAUGAAGGCCUUCGGGUUGUAAAGCACUUUUGGCAGGAAAGAAACGGCACGGGAUAAUACCCCGUGCAACUGACGGUACCUGCAAAUUAAGCACCGGCCUAACUACGUGCAGCAGCCGCGGUAAUACGUAGGGUGCAAGCGUUAAUCGGAAUUACUGGGCGUAAAGCGUGCGCAGACGGUUCGGAAAGAAAGAUGUGAAAUCCCAGAGCUUAACUUUGGAACUGCAUUUUUAACUACCGAGCUAGAGUGUGUCAGAGGAGGUGCAGAUUCCGCGUGUAGCAGUGAAAUGCGUAGAUAUGCGGAGAACACCGAUGGCGAAGGCAGCCUCCUGGGAUAACACUGACGCUCAUGCACGAAAGCGUGGGGAGCAAACAGGAUUAGAUACCCUGGUAGUCCACGCCCUAAACGAUGUCAACUAGCUGUUAGGCCUUCGGGCCUUGAUGACGCAACUAACGCGUGAAGUUGACCGCCUGGGGAGUACGGUCGCAAGAUUAAAACUCAAGGAAUUGACGGGGACCCGCACAAGCGGUGGAUGAUGUGGAUUAAUUCGAUGCAACGCGAAAAACCUUACCUACCCUUGACAUGUCUGGAAUCCCGAAGAGAUUUGGGAGUGCUCCGCAAGAGAACCGAGACACAGGUGCUGCAUGGCUGUCGUCAGCUCGUGUCGUGAGAUGUUGGGUUAAGUCCCGCAACGAGCGCAACCCUUGUCAUUAGUUGUUACGAAAGGGCACUCUAAUGAGACUGCCGGUGACAAACCGGAGGAAGGUGAGGAUGACGUCAAGUCUCAUGGCCCUUAUGGGUAGGGCUUCACACGUCAUACAAUGGUCGGGACAGAGGGUCGCCAACCCGCGGGGAGCCAAUCCCGAAACCCGAUCGUAGUCCGGAUCGCAGUCUGCAACUCGACUGCGUGAAGUCAGAAUCGCUAUUAAUCGCGGAUCAGCAUGUCGCGGUGAAUACGUUCCCAGGUCUUGUACACACCGCCCGUCACACCAUGGGAGUGGGUUUUACCAGAAGUAGUUAGCCUAACCGUAAGGAGGGCGAUUACCACGGUAGGAUUCAUGACUGGGGGUGAAGUCGUAACAAGGAAGCCAA
rnacentral:rRNA from 1 species